UCAGACUUCUCUCUUAAUCUUGUCUUCCCCUCUUAUCAUCAGGACUCUCCCUCUCUCAAUUUUGUCUCAAUUCUUGAGAUGGUCUUGCCGAUCUUAUCAUGCAAUAAAUAUUGUCUCUCAAUUUUGCCUUUAUCUUGUCGAUCUUGUCUUAGUUCUUGAGAUUAAGAUGGUGUCUCUCUCUUAAUGUUGUCUUAGAACUUGAGAGAAAAGUUAUUAACUCGUUUGAGUCUCUGGCACAAGUUGGAUGGCCUCGGUGAAGUCCCUUAAAGUCUUG
rnacentral:lncRNA from 1 species